ACGAACGCUGGCGGCGUGCUUAACACCUGCAAGUCGAACGGAAAGGCCCCUUUGGGGGUACUCGAGUGGCUAACGGGUGAGUAACACGUGAGUAACCUGCCCUUGACUUCGGGAUAACUUCAGGAAACUGGGGCUAAUACCGGAUAGGAAUCCUUGCUGCAUGGUGGGGGUUGGAAAGCUUCGGCGGUUUUGGAUGGACUCGCGGCUUAUCAGCUUGUUGGUGGGGUAGUGGCUUACCAAGGCUUUGACGGGUAGCCGGCCUGAGAGGGCGACCGGCCACAUUGGGACUGAGAUACGGCCCAGACUGCUACGGGAGGCAGCAGUGGGGAAGAUUGCAAAAUGGGCGGAAGCCUGAUGCAGCAACGCCGCGGGCGGGAUGACGGCCUUCGGGUUGUAAACCGCUUUCAGCAGGGGCGAAGCUUGUGGUGACGGUACCUGCAGAAGAAGCACCGGCUAACUACGUG
rnacentral:rRNA from 1 species